AAGGUUAAAGUUCUUAUUUCAUGGUAUAACUUUGGUAUGCUUGGACCUAGAGUCUUCAAACUUGACAUGAAGGUUGGCCAGGAUUAACAGAUGACCACUGGUCAUUUCAAGGUCAUUCAUUUGAAGGUGAAGGUCACUGUGACCUUCAAUAUAAAAAUGUUAAAGUUGUUAUAACUUUGGUAUGCUUGGACCUAGAGUCUUGAAACUUGACAUGAAGGUUGGCCAGAACUAGUAAGUAACCACUGGACAUUUCAAGGUCAUUCAUUUGAAGGUCAAGGUCACUGUGACCUUGAAUGUAAAAAUGUUAAAGUUGUUAUAACUUUGGUAUGCUUGGACCUAGAGUCUUGAAACUUGACAUGAAGGUUGGCCAGAACUAGUAAGUAACCACUGGACAUUUCAAGGUCAUUCAUUUGAAGGUCAAGGUCACUGUGACCUUGAAUGUAAAAAUGUUAAAGUUCUUAUUUCAUGUUAUAACUUUGGUAUGCUUGUACCUAGAGUCUUCAAACUUGAAAUAAAGAUUGGCCAGUACUAGAAGAUGACCACUGGUCAUUUCAAUGUCAUUCAUUUGAAGGUCAAGGUCACUGUGACCUUAAAUGUUAAAAUGUUAAAAUUGUUAUAACUUUGGUA